rnacentral:piRNA from 1 species
UGUGCUUGGAUAGGCCAUUGGUUUUAGU